GGUGAGAUGGCCGAGCGGUCUAAGGCGCCACGUUAAGGUCUUCCUUAAUCAACAUCUUGUACAAAGAUUCCGUGGUCCGAAAGGGCGUGGGUUCGAAUCCCACUCUCAUCA
rfam:Podospora anserina genomic DNA, chromosome 4.